AGGGGCGGGCGUGCCUAUACAUGCAAGUCGAGCGGGGUAGAUUUGAAAGCUUGCUUUCAAAUCUACCUAGCGGCGGACGGGUGAGUAACACGUGGGUAACCUGCCCUUUAGAUUGGGAUAACAUCAGGAAACUGGUGCUAAUACCGAAUAGGAAGAAGAGUCGCAUGACUUUUCUUGGAAAGGUGGCGCAAGCUACUACUAAAGGAUGGACCCGCGGCGCAUUAGCUAGUUGGUGGGGUAACGGCCUACCAAGGCGACGAUGCGUAGCCGACCUGAGAGGGUGAUCGGCCACACUGGGACUGAGACACGGCCCAGACUCCUACGGGAGGCAGCAGUAGGGAAUCUUCGGCAAUGGGCGAAAGCCUGACCGAGCAACGCCGCGUGAGUGAAGAAGGUUUUCUGAUCGUAAAACUCUGUUGUAAGGGAAGAACAGCAGGUAGUUAAAUAAGCUACUUGUGUGACGGUACCUUAUUAGAAAGCCACGGCUAACUACGUGCCAGCAGCCGCGGUAAUACGUAGGUGGCAAGCGUUAUCCGGAAUUAUUGGGCGUAAAGCGCGCGCAGGCGGUUUUUUAAGUCUGAUGUGAAAGCCCCCGGCUCAACCGGGGAGGGUCAUUGGAAACUGGGAAACUUGAGUGCAGAAGAGAAGAGUGGAAUUCCACGUGUAGCGGUGAAAUGCGUAGAGAUGUGGAGGAACACCAGUGGCGAAGGCGACUCUUUGGUCUGUAACUGACGCUGAGGCGCGAAAGCGUGGGGAGCAACAGGAUUAGAUACCCUGGUAGUCCACGCUGUAAACGAUGAGUGCUAAGUGUUAGGGGGUUUCCGCCCCUUAGUGCUGCAAGCUAACGGCAUUAAGCAA
rnacentral:rRNA from 1 species